UACAGAGGUCCCGAGCGUUGUUCGGAUUCACUGGGCGUAAAGGGUGCGUAGGUGGUGAGGUAAGUCGGAUGUGAAAUCUCCAAGCUCAACUUGGAAACUGCAUUGGAAACUACCUUGCUAGAGGAUUUGAGGGGGGAUUGGAAUACUUGGUGUAGCAGUGAAAUGCGUAGAUAUCAAGUGGAACACCAGUGGCGAAGGCGAAUCCCUGGAAAAUACCUGACACUGAGGCACGAAAGCUGGGGGAGCAAACAGG
rnacentral:rRNA from 1 species